GAUGAACGCUAGCUACAGGCUUAACACAUGCAAGUCGAGGGGAAACGAUAUUGGAAGCUUGCUUCCGAUAGGCGUCGACCGGCGCACGGGUGAGUAACGCGUAUCCAACCUGCCCACCACUUGGGGAUAACCUUGCGAAAGUAAGACUAAUACCCAAUGAUAUCUCUAGAAGACAUCUGAAAGAGAUUAAAGAUUUAUCGGUGAUGGAUGGGGAUGCGUCUGAUUAGCUUGUUGGCGGGGUAACGGCCCACCAAGGCGACGAUCAGUAGGGGUUCUGAGAGGAAGGUCCCCCACAUUGGAACUGAGACACGGUCCAAACUCCUACGGGAGGCAGCAGUGAGGAAUAUUGGUCAAUGGACGAGAGUCUGAACCAGCCAAGUAGCGUGCAGGAUGACGGCCCUAUGGGUUGUAAACUGCUUUUAUAAGGGAAUAAGGUGAGCCUCGUGAGGCUUUUUGCAUGUACCUUAUGAAUAAGGACCGGCUAAUUCCGUGCCAGCAGCCGCCGUAA
rnacentral:rRNA from 1 species